UGAACUGCAUCUUAGAGGAUUGAAGGCACUGGCUAAAGAACUCUCAGAACCACUGUAUUCUCUGUGAAAUUGUGGAGGAUGGGUGAAGUGCCGGAUGACUGGAAGAAGGCUAAUGUUGUCCUGAUCUUCAAAAAAGGGCAAAAAGGAGGAACCUGGGAACUAUAGACCAGUCAGCCUGACAUCGAUCCCAGGGAAAAUUCUGGAGCAGAUUAAAGCAUGGUCAGUCGAUCUACAUUGACUCCAGAAAAAUAUACAACAAUCACAGCAACAAAAGAAGAAAUUUAACAGAUAUACUGCUUACAGAAAAGCUGUCAGUUGUCGCCACUGAAACCACCCUAAAGGAACUUCAUUUAAGAUUAUCCUAAUUUCUUCCUCAGAUAACAUCCUGCCAUCUUUGUAAAAAUCCCUUAGCCUAUAAAGGCCUUUAGACUUUGAGUCUCGCCAUGGAAAUAUUCUGUAUUUAUUACAAAAAUUGUGGAUGAAAGAACAAAGGCAUCAAUGGAGAGACCUAUGAGGAAAUGGAUUUUACUCUGUGAGACCGACAUCGAUAUAAGGCUGCUGUGAAGGGAUUGUCC